CGCACCUUGCGCCCUUCUUCGGAAGGGCACGCCUGUUUGAGUGUCAUGUUCAUCUCAAUUCAACAGCUUUGCGGCUGACUUGGAUUGGAUUUGGGAGUCUGCUGGCCCUAUUUGGGAUCGGCUCUCCUUGAAUGCAUGAGUGAGCAUCUGGCUCGCGUUGCUGAUGUGAUAGCCUUUCAUCAUUGGCGGCGCCUGUCUAACGGGCUUGCUUCCGAACCGUCUUCUCAACGGAGACAACUAUUGACAUUUUUGACCUCAAAUCAGGUGGGACUACCCGCUGAACUUAA
rnacentral:misc_RNA from 1 species